rnacentral:rRNA from 1 species
GCAGCGAAAUGCGAUAAGUAAUGUGAAUUGCAGAAUUCAGUGAAUCAUCGAAUCUUUGAACGCACCUUGCGCUCCUUGGUAUUCCGAGGAGUAUGCCUGUUUGAGUGUCAUUGUAUUCUCAACCUUUAAAGUGUUUUUUUAUUAUUAUUUUAAAUAAUAAAAGCCUUUGAAGGCUUGGACUUGGAGGUUUUGUGUUGGCACAAACAUGUGUCAACUCCUCUGAAAUGCAUUAGGGUGAACCUUUACGGAUCGCCUUCAGUGUGAUAAUUAUCUACGCUGUGGUGUUGAAGUAUAUAACAAGUGUUCAUGCUUCUAACUGUCCAGCAAUGGACAAUACUUUUUUUGACAAUCUGACCUCAAAUCAGGUAGGACUACCCGCUGAACUUAAGCAUAUCAAUAA